ACUGAGCCAAUUGAUCCGAUUAUAUUUAUCUGGAAAAUCAUAUACACGCAUCAGAAUUCAUAUUUGAUAGGUUUUAUUAACACCCAAUAAAGACUAUAUGAAGGUCCAACGAGGUUUAAAUAAUAACCAUAUGGAAGCCGUUUGAAUUUCACAUAUAACUUAUUGGAUAUCGUUUACCCAUUCGUACUACGAUGGCGGCCACUGCAUACAAUUUGGUAGCAGAUUUUGGUUUAACGACGAGCUUUUGCAAAUUUGUAACGAAUGUGAAACCAUUAUUUGCGAGCAUUUACCUUGCUCGCUGAAGAAUUUCGCUGCUGAUUCUAGACAACUGAGAACUUUCUAAAGUUCUGUUUGACGAUAUCUAGGUGAGAUGUUUUAUUCGGCAGUUAGUUUUGUGCUGAAAUUAUGUUAACAUGGUUCUAUUGUUUUAGAUUUGUGUACCGACCAUCCUACAACAAAAAUAACUUUGCUUCAGGUUCCAGUAGUAACUAUGAGAUGGUUGGGUAGUGGAUCCGAAUACCCGGAUGAUGAAAGAUUUGAAGACUGGGGAGAUACUUGGUCCCUCUCAAAGCAUGUCAAAGAAGAAAUCAUUUACGUGGAU